rnacentral:rRNA from 1 species
GACGGAGGAUGCAAGUGUUAUCCGGAAUCACUGGGCGUAAAGCGUCUGUAGGUGGUUUAAAAAGUCUACUGUUAAAAAUUGAAGCUUAACUUCAAAGAUGCCGUAGAAACUUUUAAACUUGAGGAUGGUAGGGGUAGAGGGAAUUUCCAGUGGAGCGGUGAAAUGCGUAGAUCUUGGAAAGAACACCAACGGCGAAAGCACUCUGCUGGGCCGACACUGACACUGAGAGACGAAAGCUAGGGGAGCGAAUGGG